AAAACGACUCUCGGCAACGGAUAUCUCGGCUCUCGCAUCGAUGAAGAACGCAGCGAAAUGCGAUACUUGGUGUGAAUUGCAGGAUCCCGCGAACCAUCGAGUCUUUGAACGCAAGUUGCGCCNGAAGCCUUUUGGCCGAGGGCACGUCUGCCUGGGUGUCACUC
rnacentral:rRNA from 1 species